rnacentral:rRNA from 1 species
GAUGAACGCUGGCGGCGUGCCUAAUACAUGCAAGUCGAGCGAACAGACGAGGAGCUUGCUCCUCUGACGUUAGCGGCGGACGGGUGAGUAACACGUGGAUAACCUACCUAUAAGACUGGGAUAACUUCGGGACACCAGAGCUAAUACCGGAUAAUAUAUUGAACCGCAUGGUUCAAUAGUGAAAGACGGUUUUGUCGUUACUUAUUGAUGGUUCCGCGUCGCAUUAGCUAGUUGGUAAGGUAACGGCUUACCAAGGCAAUGCUGCGUAGCCGACAUGGGGGGUGGAUCGGCACAACGGGAACUGAGACACGGUCCAGACUCCUACGGGAGGCAGCAGUAGGGAAUCUUCCGCAAUGGGCGAAAGCCUGACGGAGCAACGCCGCGUGAGUGAUGAAGGUCUUCGGAUCGUAAAACUCUGUUAUUAGGGAAGAACAAAUGUGUAAGUAACUAUGCACGUCUUGACGGUACCUAAUCAGAAAGCCACGGCUAACUACGUG